rnacentral:rRNA from 1 species
AUUGAACGCUGGCGGCAUGCCUAAUACAUGCAAGUCGAACGAGUGGCGGACGGGCGAGUAAUGUCUGGGAAACUGCCUGAUGGAGGGGGAUAACUACUGUAAACGGUAGCUAAUACCGCAUACCAUCGGUUCUGCCCAGAUGGGAUUAGCUAGUGGGUGGGGUAAAGGCUAACCUAGGCGACGAUCCCUAGCUGGUCUGAGAGGAUGACCAGCCACACUGGAACUGAGACACGGUCCAGACUCCUACGGGAGGCAGCAGUGGGGAAUAUUGCACAAUGGGCGCAAGCCUGAUGCAGCCAUGCCGCGUGUAUGAAGAAGGCCUUCGGGUUGUAAAGUACUUUCAGCAGGGAGGCGUUACCCGCAGAGGAAGCACCGGCUAACUCCGUGCCAGCAGCCGCGGUAAUAC